CACCUCCUCUCCUUUCUUUCUCCGGUAGAAAGCUUUCUAAAAAAAAGACAACAUAUCCAUGGGAGUCCUUUACCUCUUCUUUGGUUGUGUUGUUGUCUUGUCAAUUUGUCGGUUUUGUUUUGGACUCUCUCAAGUACUUUGUUAAUCUGAUGGAUUAAUCUAGGCUUCUAAGAAACAUUUUUUUUUUAAAUUUCUUCUUCUUCUUAUGCUUUCUGCUCCCACAAUCUCACGUUUUCUUCUCUGUGCAGUGUUCUUUUGGCAGUUUGUGAUUUUCCCAACUUUAAUCAACUUUUCAUCAUCUAUGAGGUACUUUCCCCUUUGUCUUUUUAUUUUCUCUUUCGGCCAUUUUUCUGGGGUUUAUGUUGUGGGUGUGUUGAAUUUUUUUGUGGGUGAUCAAUAAUUUGCUAAAUAAAGCCUUUUUGGCAUGUGGGUUUGUGAUUUUAUUUGGGUUUGGUGUUAAAGUUGUGGUCUUUUUGGAGUUUGGGUUGGUUUAGUUUUCCGGGGAAGUAGUGAUGGUGAUGUUGAUUCUUUGUUGCUUUGGUUUAUUUCGAAAAUCUUAAUGGGUGUUUAAAUUCAUGCUGAAUAUCACGCCCUAAACUUACUUUUACUCUAAUUCGACCCCUCAAUUUCCACACAAUUAUCACUGCUAAUCCAUCUAAUCUUCAACACAUUCUAAAAACCAAUUUCUCUGUUUAUCAAAAAGGCCAUAAUUCAAAUAACACUCUCGCUGAUUUCCUCAGUAAUGGCAUUUUCAACGUCGAUGGCGAUAUAUGGAAGUAUCAACGACAAGUUGCUAGCCACGAAUUCAAUACUAAAUCGCUACGAAAAUUCGUUGAAUCUGUAGUUGAUGUCGAGCACGGCUAUUUAGUUUCCUUCUCCAAGCUUGAGAUGGUGGUGCAGCACUAUCAAAAUCAAACUGCAGCAAGCAAAUACAAGCGAGAUCAUAACACUAUAAAAGAAUUGAACAUCACAAAAGUGAAAUAUCCCAGUGGAGGCAAAAAGCACUAGAUGAUUUAUUCUCCCUCUUCAAUCCUUUGUGGACACCACAAUUACCCAAAAAAAAAA
rnacentral:lncRNA from 1 species